GGUUAAGCGACUAAGCGUACACGGUGGAUGCCCUGGCAGUCAGAGGCGAUGAAGGGCGUGCUAAUCUGCGAUAAGCGCCGGUAAGGUGAUAUGAACCGUUAUAACCGGCGAUACCCGAAUGGGGAAACCCAGUGUGACUCGUCACACUAUCAUUAACUGAAUCCAUAGGUUAAUGAGGCGAACCGGGGGAACUGAAACAUCUAAGUACCCCGAGGAAAAGAAAUCAACCGAGAUUCCCCCAGUAGCGGCGAGCGAACGGGGAGGAGCCCAGAGCCUGAAUCAGCAUGUGUGUUAGUGGAAGCGUCUGGAAAGGCGCGCGAUACAGGGUGACAGCCCCGUACACAAAAGCGCAUGUGCUGUGAGCUCGAUGAGUAGGGCGGGACACGUGGUAUCCUGUCUGAAUAUGGGGGGACCAUCCUCCAAGGCUAAAUACUCCUGACUGACCGAUAGUGAACCAGUACCGUGAGGGAAAGGCGAAAAGAACCCCGGCGAGGGGAGUGAAAAAGAACCUGAAACCGUGUACGUACAAGCAGUGGGAGCACCCUUUGGGGUGUGACUGCGUACCUUUUGUAUAAUGGGUCAGCGACUUAUAUUCUGUAGCAAGGUUAACCGUAUAGGGGAGCCGUAGGGAAACCGAGUCUUAACCGGGCGUUAAGUUGCAGGGUAUAGACCCGAAACCCGGUGAUCUAGCCAUGGGCAGGUUGAAGGUUGGGUAACACUAACUGGAGGACCGAACCGACUAAUGUUGAAAAAUUAGCGGAUGACCUGUGGCUGGGGGUGAAAGGCCAAUCAAACCGGGAGAUAGCUGGUUCUCCCCGAAAGCUAUUUAGGUAGCGCCUCGUGAAUUCAUCUCCGGGGGUAGAGCACUGUUUCGGCUAGGGGGCCAUCCCGGCUUACCAACCCGAUGCAAACUGCGAAUACCGGAGAAUGUUAUCACGGGAGACACACGGCGGGUGCUAACGUCCGUCGUGAAGAGGGAAACAACCCAGACCGCCAGCUAAGGUCCCAAAGUCAUGGUUAAGUGGGAAACGAUGUGGGAAGGCCCAGACAGCCAGGAUGUUGGCUUAGAAGCAGCCAUCAUUUAAAGAAAGCGUAAUAGCUCACUGGUCGAGUCGGCCUGCGCGGAAGAUGUAACGGGGCUAAACCAUGCACCGAAGCUGCGGCAGCGACACUGUGUGUUGUUGGGUAGGGGAGCGUUCUGUAAGCCUGUGAAGGUGUGUCGUGAGGCAUGCUGGAGGUAUCAGAAGUGCGAAUGCUGACAUAAGUAACGAUAAAGCGGGUGAAAAGCCCGCUCGCCGGAAGACCAAGGGUUCCUGUCCAACGUUAAUCGGGGCAGGGUGAGUCGACCCCUAAGGCGAGGCCGAAAGGCGUAGUCGAUGGGAAACGGGUUAAUAUUCCCGUACUUGGUGUUACUGCGAAGGGGGGACGGAGAAGGCUAUGUUGGCCGGGCGACGGUUGUCCCGGUUUAAGCGUGUAGGUGUGUGUUCCAGGUAAAUCCGGUUCACUUUAACACUGAGGCGUGAUGACGAGGCACUACGGUGCUGAAGCAACAAAUGCCCUGCUUCCAGGAAAAGCCUCUAAGCAUCAGGUAACAUCAAAUCGUACCCCAAACCGACACAGGUGGUCAGGUAGAGAAUACCAAGGCGCUUGAGAGAACUCGGGUGAAGGAACUAGGCAAAAUGGUGCCGUAACUUCGGGAGAAGGCACGCUGACACGUAGGUGAAGUGAUUUACUCACGGAGCUGAAGUCAGUCGAAGAUACCAGCUGGCUGCAACUGUUUAUUAAAAACACAGCACUGUGCAAACACGAAAGUGGACGUAUACGGUGUGACGCCUGCCCGGUGCCGGAAGGUUAAUUGAUGGGGUCAGCGCAAGCGAAGCUCCUGAUCGAAGCCCCGGUAAACGGCGGCCGUAACUAUAACGGUCCUAAGGUAGCGAAAUUCCUUGUCGGGUAAGUUCCGACCUGCACGAAUGGCGUAAUGAUGGCCAGGCUGUCUCCACCCGAGACUCAGUGAAAUUGAACUCGCUGUGAAGAUGCAGUGUACCCGCGGCAAGACGGAAAGACCCCGUGAACCUUUACUAUAGCUUGACACUGAACAUUGAGCCUUGAUGUGUAGGAUAGGUGGGAGGCUUUGAAGCGUGGACGCCAGUCUGCGUGGAGCCAACCUUGAAAUACCACCCUUUAAUGUUUGAUGUUCUAACGUGGACCCGUGAUCCGGGUUGCGGACAGUGUCUGGUGGGUAGUUUGACUGGGGCGGUCUCCUCCUAAAGAGUAACGGAGGAGCACGAAGGUUGGCUAAUCCUGGUCGGACAUCAGGAGGUUAGUGCAAUGGCAUAAGCCAGCUUGACUGCGAGCGUGACGGCGCGAGCAGGUGCGAAAGCAGGUCAUAGUGAUCCGGUGGUUCUGAAUGGAAGGGCCAUCGCUCAACGGAUAAAAGGUACUCCGGGGAUAACAGGCUGAUACCGCCCAAGAGUUCAUAUCGACGGCGGUGUUUGGCACCUCGAUGUCGGCUCAUCACAUCCUGGGGCUGAAGUAGGUCCCAAGGGUAUGGCUGUUCGCCAUUUAAAGUGGUACGCGAGCUGGGUUUAGAACGUCGUGAGACAGUUCGGUCCCUAUCUGCCGUGGGCGCUGGAGAACUGAGGGGGGCUGCUCCUAGUACGAGAGGACCGGAGUGGACGCAUCACUGGUGUUCGGGUUGUCAUGCCAAUGGCACUGCCCGGUAGCUAAAUGCGGAAGAGAUAAGUGCUGAAAGCAUCUAAGCACGAAACUUGCCCCGAGAUGAGUUCUCCCUGAGACUUAAAGUCUCCUGAAGGAACGUUGAAGACGACGACGUUGAUAGGCCGGGUGUGUAAGCGCAGCGAUGCGUUGAGCUAACCGGUACUAAUGAACCGUGAGGCUUAACCUUAC
rnacentral:rRNA from 1 species